UGGUGCAGUGUUGAGAAAGAAUAGAAGAACCCAAUCUCGUGUCCUGGAUUCGUGGUUGUCACUCGUCAGAUCGUGGACAAAAAAAUUUAAUUGACAAUUCCCAAUCCCGAAUAGAAAUUCCCAAAGCACCGAACCCUAACUUUCUCCUCCUGAUUGCAUCCCUCAUCGUCACUGAGCAGUGUUUCAAGGUUCUGGUUCUUGAUGAAUAUGACACCAGUUUGUCCCUUUGUCAAAGCUGCUCGACCUGAUGAUAAUAAUGCCUCUAAAAAAUCGGGUGAAAAUUCUAUGAAACAUCAGGUAGAGUCUGAGAGUAAGGCGAAGAAAGAGGUUAAUGACACAGCUGGUGCUUCUCCAAAGUGCCCAUUUGGAUAUGACUCGCAAACAUUUAAGAUUGGUCCUCUUAGCUGUAUGGUAUGCCAGGCACUUCUAUUUGAUACCAGCAAAUGUGUGCCUUGUUCCCAUGUUUUCUGCAAAGCAUGCAUAUCACGCUUUAAGGACUGUCCAUUAUGUGGGGCUGAUAUUGAGAAGAUUGAGCCUGAUGCUAAUCUUCAGGGUGUAGUUGAUCGCUUUAUUGAAGGUCAUGCUAGGAUCAAAAGGUCUGUUAGUUCAGACACAGAUGGAGAAGCAGCAGAGAGUAAACCAAUCAUAUAUGAGGAUGUGUCUCUGGAAAGAGGUUCUUUCUUGGUACAACAGGCCAUGAGGGCAUUUCGUGCUCAGAAUUUGGAAAGUGCCAAAUCAAGACUCAGCCUCUGUGCAGAAGACGUUCGUGAUCAGUUAGAAAAAGUGGGCAACACAUCAGAGUUAUGUUCACAGCUUGGAGCAGUCUUGGGUAUGCUUGGUGACUGCUGCCGAGCAAUGGGUGAUGCCAGUUCUGCGGUUGCAUAUUUUGAAGAAAGUGUUCAAUUUCUGUCAAAAUUGCCCAAAGAUGAUAUGGAGAUUACACACACACUUUCUGUUUCACUUAACAAAAUUGGAGAUCUUAAAUAUUACGAUGGGGACCUUCAAGCUGCAAGAUCUUACUAUUUUAAAUCUUUGAAUGUUCGUCGUGAUGUUGUCAAGGACAAUUCAAAUGUUCCUUCCCAGGUCCUAGAUGUUGCUGUUUCUCUUGCAAAAGUUGCAGAUGUGGACAGAAAUCUAGGGGAUGAAAAGGUGGCUACUGAUGGAUUUCAAGAAGCCAUAGACUUACUGGAAUCACUAACGUUGAAAUCUGAAGCCAGUGCGCUUGAGCAACGGCGGCAAUCAGUCCUAGACUUCCUUAGAAGCCAACUGCUAGAUAAACAAGAACAAGUUGUGCCAACAGUCUGAGAUAGGUACUCCACAUGAAGAAAGGAAACAUGAAUUCAGAUGCAAUAAACAUUUCUGUAUGCCACGGGACAAGUUUGUAAAAUAAGCUCAGCUUAACAGAGGCACUACUAAUAGAGGAAGAGGAGCUUUCAUAGUAACGGUUUCAUCCGUGCAUCAAUGAUCUUAUAGUAUCAGGCUUGAAUUUGCUAAUGUGGCCCGUGAACUAUGCAAGUGUACGUACGUACGUAUAAGGGUAACGUGAACACCUACUUAUGGCAUGUUCUGUAGAUUUGGUCCCUUUAAAAGUACUGGUAUAUAACAAUUUGCCCUAAAUUUGGCAAUUUCUUUUAUCUAUUACUGUUAAUCAAGUCUAAUAGAAUUGUACAAUUAUUAUUCUUAUGUAAUUUUAACAUCAGUUUUUU